rnacentral:lncRNA from 1 species
AUGUAGUCAUUUCCCAGGGGUUUCCUUCUUCAUUCAUCAGGGGCCAUAUUUUUUCAUUUGACAGAAAGAGCUGGAUAUUGAAGUGUAAACUCCCUUUGAGAGAAGCAGAGACAGGCUCACUGUAAGCAAUGGGUGACAAUCUCUACGCCUUUCUGAACAUGGGGUUUGAUGAAGGAAGAAGAGGAAACAUGAAGACAGUGAGAGCUUGUUAUAAAAGACUAAGUGAACCCUAAAGAGAGGGACUCAGUAAAGUUUACUGGAUGCUAAACUCAACGCUGUUUGGUUUUCAAGAGAUACAUUUUUCUUUCAACAUUCUUGUCUUCAAAGGCUAAUGGGAUGUGCUGCUCUGUUGGAAGCCAGAGUUAGGUCUUCGGGUCAGCCAUGGCUUCACUGAACUUGGCUCAAGAUUUCAGACCAGCUUCAGAUCUACUCUAUUUGGUUCAUUAUACUCCUUGAACCAGCCACCAACUAAGCCACAUUCUUCUAAUUAUACAUCGCAAGACCACAACAAGUGUUUUGAUCAUUUUACUGAUCUAAUGCAAAUCACCUUGAGUGUCAUUGCUUUUUACACCUCAGAGUGAAUCAAGACUCUGACAAGUGGUCCUGAAAUGGAUGACAAAAGCAAGAGUUGAAGAGAUAUGAGUACUUGGAGGUAGGUUUGAUCUGACUGUGCCAAAGGAGGAACAGGAAGUAAAUUUGGGACCUCUAAAAACUCUUUUCUCUUGCUUUACAAGAAUUCCCUUGCUUAAAAAAAAUGCAGUUAGACUUUUCAAUGGAUGCAACUUAAAAAAAAAAAAAAAACCUGAAAGAUAGCCUGCAAAAAAAUAAUAAAU